UACGGAGGGUGCAAGCGUUGUCCGGAAUCAUUGGGUGUAAAGGGUGUGUAGGCGGGACUGUAAGUCAGAGGUGAAAGCCCACAGCUUAACUGUGGAACUGCCUUUGAUACUGCAGGCCUUGAGUCCUGGAGGGGCUGCUAGAAUUCGUGGUGUAGCGGUGAAAUGCGUAGAUAUCACGAGGAAUACCAAAGGCGUAGGCAGGCAGCUGGACAGGUACUGACGCUGAGGCACGAAAGCGUGGGGAGCAAACAGG
rnacentral:misc_RNA from 1 species